AUGACAAAAAUGACAAAAAUGACAAAACUGAUAAAGCAGAAAAAAUGGACAAAAUGGACGAAACAAACAUACGCAACGUACUAUUAUCAAAAAAGUCUCAUUUUUUCCAUAGUAUUAAAAUAUUGUUGUUUAGUUUAGACAAAAGUAAUAAUAAUAUACAUCAGGAAGAAAGUAGUCAAACGAUGGUGGGUUAUAAUUCCAGUCUUAACUUUACUAAUACUAAUUAUUUUAACUCGUUUAAUUUAUACAAUAAAGAAAAAAACAUAUCAAGUGUUACUACUAUAAAUGGAUAUAAAACAGAAGAAAAUAUGAGUAGAGAUAGGGAUAGAGGCAGUAAAGAUAAAAAAUUAUCGACUACACAUGUUAGUUUAUCAUCUAACAUAUGUUUUAAUAUAAAAAACGAAAACAAUGUCAGUAGGAACGAAUCUUCAAUAUCUGAUAAAAUAAAUAUACAUACAAAAAAAAGUGAGUAUAACAAAAUAUAUAAAAAAGAAAAAAACCUUUUAAACAAUAUUUAUAAUAAUUUUAUAAUUUAUGAAAAUAAAAUAAAAAAAAUUGAGAAACAAAAAAAAGAAAAACGUGAGUUUUUAUAUAAUAAAUAUAAAAUAUUAUAUGAAAAUAAUAAACCAGUAAAAUAUAUUAAUAUAAUAAAAGAAAAUAAAUAUAUGUCUAAAAUAUAUAAUUAUAUAUUUAAAGCAAUAAAUAAUUUGAAUCAAUUAAAAGUUAGAAAAGCAUACCAUUGUAUAAAUAAUGUUUUUAUUAAUAAAAUAAUAUGUUCUAAUAAUAAAAAUUUAAAAAAAAAAUUUAUUGAAAAUGUAUUUGUAAGUGAAAUAUUAUAUCGAUAUAAAAUUAUUAAAAAAAUGGAACUAUUAUUUAAUUUGGAAGUUCAAAAUGACGUAUGUUCUGAUGCUAUUAAUUAUUCUGUUAUUUUAAAAAAGGUAUAUUCAAAUUUUGUUUUUGAUUAUAUGAUUGAUGUUAUAGACACUAAUGGAAAGGUUUGUCUUAUAAAGCUAGUCGAGUCUUUAAAACAUAAUAGUGGUGGUGGUGGUGGUAUUUUUGGUGGUGAUAGUUGUGGCGGUGAUAGUUGUGGUGGUGGAAACAGUAAUGACGACAAUAGUGGUGGUGGCGACAGAAAUUAUAAAAAUAAUGAUAAAAAUAAUGAUAAAAAUAAUGAUAAAAAUAAUAAUAAAAAUAAUAAUAAAAAUGAUGUAACAGAAAAAAGAGAAGAUCUUAAUAAAAUUAAUAAUAAAACAAAAACCGAAAAAGAUAAUGUUCUAAAAAACCAAAAAAAAAAUAUACUUAAAUGUACAAAAGAAAAUUUAAAAAACCAUAAUAAAAAAAUUGAUAUGAUCAAAACCACUGAAAUAAAUACGAAUUUAUAUACAUUCAUAUAUUUUUAUGUUAAUAUAAUAGUACCUACAAAUUUUAUAUAUGUAAUAGCAGCUACAAUAGAGGCAGAUAUGUUCAAAGCUUGGAUACCUUGUUUUACAUUUCCUUUGAAGUUUGGAAUUAGUGAGUGCAAAUUAAUAAAACAAAGAGGAUUGAUGGAUAAAAUAUUUUACACAAGAAUAGCUAUGCCUUGGACUAUACACGAUAGAUACGUACUAAUGGACGUUUGGGUAUGUGAAGAUUUUGAAUUUUCGAAGGGGAUAUUUAUAUAUGCUACGAACUUCCCUAAAUCGUCUUUAAUAACAAAGAAUAUAAAUUUAUACAAUGAAACAUGCAUAGAGAUCGAUAUAACUACGAAUAUAUUUAUUUUGCCUCAAGGGUCUGAAGAAACUCUAGUCAAAAGCUAUAUAGAAAUAUCUCCAAAUAUGAACCUAAAUGAAACGCUAGUUUCGUUUGUAACAAAAGUGUUCACAAAAAGCUGUUUGACUCACUUUAUUGAUGCAUGUAAAAAAUUCGAAUCAAAUAAGGAAUAUACUGAAAGAUUGCAAAAAAAUAAUUUAUUUUAUGACCAUUUGAAGAAGGCUGCAAAGGAAUGUAAGUUAUAUUAA
rnacentral:lncRNA from 1 species